rnacentral:rRNA from 1 species
UGCGUAGGCGGUCGGGUAAGUCUGACGUGAAAUCUUCAAGCUUAACCUGGAAACUGUGUCGGAUACUAUUCGGCUAGAGGAAUGGAGGGGAGACUGGAAUACUUGGUGUAGCAGUGAAAUGCGUAGAUAUCAAGUGGAACAUCAGUGGCGAAGGCGAGUCUCUGGACAUUUCCUGACGCUGAGGCACGAAAGCCAGGGAGCAAACA